AUGGCCGUGGCACAGCUGCCGCCAGCUGCGAGCGGGCCGGGCCCUGCAGUGCAGCCUCAGGCGGCCGCCACGAUGCAGCCAAGCGCCGUGGUGCAGCCCAUGGACUCAGCGCAGCCGCAGGCGGUGCCCGCGAUGCAGCCGAUCGCUGCGAUGCAGCCAGCGGCCGCAAUGCAGCCCCAGACGGUUCCUGGGAUGCAGCAAGUCGCAGCAAUGCAGCCACAGACAGUUGCUGCAAUGCAGCCACCUCCCCCAGCACAGCCAGCGGUUCCGAUGCAGCCACAGACUAUCCCCACGAUGCAGCAAGUCACCGCGAUGCAGCCGCAGCCGCUGCCUGUGAUGACACAGGUAGCCGUGAUGCAGCCGCAGCCACUCCCUGUGAUGCAGCCGUCAGCCGUGAUGCAGCCACAGGCAUUUUCUGGGAUGCAGCAAGUCACUGCGAUGCAGCCGCAGACACUCCCUGGGAUGCAGCCGGUUCCCCCAAUGCAGCCGCAGACGGUCGCUGGGAUGCAGCCGUCAGCUGUGAUGCAGCCGCAGACAAUCCCUGAGAUGCAACAAGUUGCUGCAAUGCAGCCGGCGGCCACACUGCAGCCCCAGACAGUUCCUGUGAUGCAGCCGGUUCCCCCAAUGCAGCCAAUCCCCACGAUGCAGACGGUUCCCGCGAUGCAGCCCCAGACGGUUCCCGCGAUGCAGCCGAUUCCCGCGAUGCAGCCGCAAACGCUCCCUGCGAUGCAGCCCGCUCCUCCAGUGCAGCCGAUCCCCACCAUGCAGCCGCAGGCGGUUCCUGGGCUGCAGCAAGUCACCGCGAUGCAGCCGCAGACGCUCCCUGAGCUGCAGCUAGUUGCAGCGAUGCAGCCGGCAGCCGCGAUGCCGCCGGCCUCAGGGAUGCAGCCGGUUCCCACCGUGUGCCCACCACCAGCCCUGCCCUUCGCUGCCCUGUCUGAGGGGGCCCUGCCGGAGCAGGAGCCGCCAGGCGACUGCGUCGGCCCUACRCCAGAGCCGCCGGGCUUUGCUGCCUUCCCGGGAUACCCGCCGGAGCCGGUGGCCUUCCUGCAGCCCGGCUACGUGCCCUGGAGCCUCGCCAGCGCCAUGGCCGCCCCGCACCCGGGGCAGGAGGCUGCGCAGGUUCGGGGGCGGCCCCCUGCCGCCGUUUUCCUCCCCAGGGGCUGA
rnacentral:lncRNA from 1 species